GACGAACGCUAGCGGCGUGGAUAAGGCAUGCAAGUCGAACGAACAUCUUUUGAUGUUAGUGGCAAACGGGUUAGUAACGCGUGGGAAUCUACCUUGUACUUGGGGAUACGCCAUUGAAAAAUGGUUUAAUACCCAAUAGUCCCGUAAGGGUAAAGUUACGGCGGUACAAGAGGAGCCCGCGUCCUAUCAGCUUGUUGGUGAGGUAAUUGCUCACCAAGGCAAUGACGGGUAGGGGGUGUGAGAGCAUGAACCCCAACACUGGGACUGAGACACUGCCCAGACACCUACGGGUGGCUGCAGUCGAGAAUCUUCCACAAUGGACGAAAGUCUGAUGGAGCGACGCCGCGUG
rnacentral:rRNA from 1 species